UACGGGGGGGGCAAGCGUUGUUCGGAAUUACUGGGCGUAAAGGGCUCGUAGGUGGCCAACUAAGUCAGACGUGAAAUCCCUCGGCUUAACCGGGGAACUGCGUCUGAUACUGGAUGGCUUGAGUUCGGGAGAGGGAUGCGGAAUUCCAGGUGUAGCGGUGAAAUGCGUAGAUAUCUGGAGGAACACCGGUGGCGAAGGCGGCGUUCUGGACUGCAACUGACACUGAGAAACGAAAGCCAGGGGAGCAAACGGG
rnacentral:rRNA from 1 species